rnacentral:lncRNA from 1 species
UAAGCAACACGAUAGAUUGUUGGAAGCAUGCUCCACUAAUUCUCUAGUUCAUUAGUUGCAAAAGGCGGAUAACAAACCACCAGGAAUUGCAGACCUGUGGAGCUACAUGUAGGAAGACAACCCAUCCAACUAGAAAACAUACAACAAUUGCUCAUAAAGAAACUUAGAGACUUCGGCCCAUCGUGCACCAAAGAGGAAUGUAAUCAUCAAAGGUAAGAUUGGCAAGCUCUUUACCUCAUGUUUCAUUGAAGCGGUGGUUCAUUUGGAAUGGCUAGCCAAUAUCAUGUUAGCUAUGAAGAAAGAGUAGGGGCAAUGACGAGUUUGCGUUGAUUACACCAACCUCAACCACGGCUGCCCAAAAGACAACUACCCUAUUGCAAGAAUUAAUCUGCUGUUAGAUUCGACCUCUGGAAACCAACUGCUCAGCUUUCUAAAUGCGUAUCCCUAUUACACCCAUAUCAGAAUUAUGAGCCAAACAAGUGUAAGACUGCAUUUAUUAGACCCAGCAGUUUCUGACAUGACACGAAAACGACACAAAAAUAACGGAUUUUGGAUCAACACGAUAACUUAUCGGGUCAUUAUCGGGUAACCCGUUAAUAACGGGUUC